GUAACCCAGUGGAGGAAAACAAAACAAACAACCAAAGUAUGGAAACUGGAUUUCCGUCACGGAGACCACAGGCAGUUCCUGAAGUUCAUGCACACAAGGUGUCGCCCUGUGCUAUGCCAUCCUGCCUUGGUGCCAGCUGCUUAGGGACUGAAGCCUCCACAAGCUAGGACUGUCAUAUAUCAUCUUCUGUCUGUCCCCAUGAACAAGCAAGGCUUUGGCCUCCCGGAGAGGUGGGAGCUCAGAAGAGUUGUGGAGAGGAGGCGACCAGCAUCCCUUGGAUUUUGUGCAGUACCAAAUCCUGUAAUUAACUGAAGAAUUACAACAUUUUCCAGGGCGUCUUCUGUCAUGCUCCUGUCCCUCAGACUUCUCUGCCCCAACCCCACACCCUCCAUGUAAAGGGGACACCUGCAGUGACCACAGUGGUGUUUGUAAGACAGAAGCAGAGUGCUGGGGUGCAUCAAGGAAGCGUGACAGGGAAGCCUGCUCCAAGCAGGUUCUCCAAUCCGUGUCAUCUUGAGCUAAGGAAAUUUUGAAUUAAGAUACUGAAGACUUGACUUAAAUCAAUUUAGGACUUUUCUCGAUCUAAAAAUGUAAACAUUAUUAUUAUGCUUGGAAGUCACCAUAAUCCUGAGGGGCUUAGAUAUUUCACAUGGGAGUUGGGAAGUUGAGUAAAUAAGAGAAGAAAAACAAGGAGAAACAGGACUAUUGAUUGACCAUGCAGUGUGUAGCUUAUUUGAUGUGCUGUCUCUCACACACACACUCACGCGUGUGCCCACACACAUACGCACACACGCAUGCACCAUAGACCCCCAGUUUUCUGAAGGCUAAAUUUGAAGCUCAGGUAUAAAAUAUUUUUCCAUUUUACUGUAUAGAAGUAAUUGUCUUAAAGUUGGUUUAAAUGUAUGUGCUGCAUUAAAUCACAAUAAAGCUUUAUCUAU